UACAGAGGUCUCACGCGUUGUUCGGAUUCAUUGGGCGUAAAGGGUGCGUAGGUGGCGCGGUAAGUCGGGUGUGAAAUUUCGGAGCUUAACUCCGAAACUGCAUUCGAUACUGCCGUGCUUGAGGACUGGAGAGGAGACUGGAAUUUACGGUGUAGCGGUGAAAUGCGUAGAUAUCGUAAGGAAGACCAGUGGCGAAGGCGGGUCUCUGGACAGUUCCUGACGCUGAGGCACGAAGGUCAGGGGAGCAAACGGG
rnacentral:rRNA from 1 species